rnacentral:rRNA from 1 species
UACGUAGGCAGCGAGCGUUGUUCGGAGUUACUGGGCGUAAAGGGUGUGUAGGCGGUUCUCUAAGUUUGGUGUGAAAUCUCCCGGCUCAACCGGGAGGGUGCGCCGAAAACUGGAGGGCUAGAGUGCGGGAAGGGAGAGUAGAAUUCCUGGUGUAGCGGUGAAAUGCGUAGAUAUCAGGAGGAAUACCGGUGGUGUAGACGGCUCUCUGGACCGCGACUGACGCUGAGACACGAAAGCCAGGGUAGCAAACGGG